AACACGUGGCCAAACUACCCUACAGAGAACGAUAACCUCGGGAAACUGAGGCUAAUAGUUCAUACGGGAGUCAUGCUGGAAUGCCGACUCCCCGAAACGCUCAGGCGCUGUAGGAUGUGGCUGCGGCCGAUUAGGUAGACGGUGGGGUAACGGCCCACCGUGCCGAUAAUCGGUACGGGUUGUGAGAGCAAGAGCCCGGAGACGGAAUCUGAGACAAGAUUCCGGGCCCUACGGGGCGCAGCAGGCGCGAAACCUUUACACUGCACGCAAGUGCGAUAAGGGGACCCCAAGUGCGAGGGCAUAUAGUCCUCGCUUUUCACGACUGUAAGGCGGUCGUGGAAUAAGAGCUGGGCAAGACCGGUGCCAGCCGCCGCGGUAAUACCGGCAGCUCAAGUGAUGACCGAUAUUAUUGGGCCUAAAGCGUCCGUAGCCGGCCACGAAGGUUCAUCGGGAAAUCCGCCAGCUCAACUGGCGGGCGUCCGGUGAAAACCACGUGGCUUGGGACCGGAAGGCUCGAGGGGUACGUCCGGGGUAGGAGUGAAAUCCCGUAAUCCUGGACGGACCACCGAUGGCGAAAGCACCUCGAGAAGACGGAUCCGACGGUGAGGGACGAAAGCUAGGGUCUCGAACCGGAUUAGAUACCCGGGUAGUCCUAGCUGUAAACGAUGCUCGCUAGGUGUGACACAGGCUACGAGCCUGUGUUGUGCCGUAGGGAAGCCGAGAAGCGAGCCGCCUGGGAAGUACGUCCGCAAGGAUGAAACUUAAAGGAAUUGGCGGGGGAGCACUACAACCGGAGGAGCCUGCGGUUUAAUUGGACUCAACGCCGGACAUCUCACCAGCUCCGACUAUAGUGAUGACGAUCAGGUUGAUGACCUUAUCACGACGCUAUAGAGAGGAGGUGCAUGGCCGCCGUCAGCUCGUACCGUGAGGCGUCCUGUUAAGUCAGGCAACGAGCGAGACCCGCACUUCUAAUUGCCAGCAGCAGUUUCGACUGGCUGGGUACAUUAGAAGGACUGCCGCUGCUAAAGCGGAGGAAGGAACGG
rnacentral:rRNA from 1 species